AACGAACGCUGGCGGCGUGCCUAACACAUGCAAGUCGAACGGGAUUCGGAGCUUGCUCCGAUGAGAGUGGCGCACGGGUGAGUAACGCGUAGAUAAUCUGCCUGAUGAUCUGGGAUAACAGUUCGAAAGGACUGCUAAUACCGGAUAAGCCCACGGAGAACUUGGUCUUUGCGGGAAAAGGGGGGGACCUUCGGGCCUUCCGUCAUCAGAUGAGUCUGGGUACCAUUAGCUAGUUGGUAGGGUAAAGGCCUACCAAGGCGACGAUGGUUAGCUGGUCUGAGAGGAUGAUCAGCCACACUGGAACUGAGACACGGUCCAGACUCCUACGGGAGGCAGCAGUGGGGAAUUUUGCGCAAUGGGGGAAACCCUGACGCAGCAACGCCGCGUGAGUGAUGAAGGCUCUUGGGUCGUAAAGCUCUGACAGAGGGAAAGAAGUGUAUGGUGGUUAAUACCCAUUGUACUUGACGGUACCCUCAAAGGAAGCACCGGCUAACUCCGUGCCAGCCGCCGCGGUAAGAC
rnacentral:rRNA from 1 species